GCCGGGGUAGCUCAAUCGGUAGAGCGUGUGGCUCUUAAUUAUAAGAGAUCAACCUCAAGGUCGCGGGUGUACGUGUUAAAUGAACUCUUCCCGUCACAUUUCCUAUACUGACAAUUAAUUAGUCGAGCCCCGCCUUCGGCU
rnacentral:tRNA from 1 species